rnacentral:rRNA from 1 species
UACGUAGGGUGCAAGCGUUGUCCGGAAUUAUUGGGCGUAAAGCGCACGUAGGCGGCUUGGCAAGUCGGAUGUGAAAUCCCUCGGCUCAACCAAGGAAGUGCAUCCGAAACUGCCGAGCUUGAGUACUUAAGAGGAUCGCGGAAUUCCCGGUGUAGAGGUGAAAUUCGUAGAUAUCGGGAGGAACACCAGUGGCGAAGGCGGCGAUCUGGGAAGAUACUGACGCUGAGGUGCGAAAGCGUGGGGAGCAAACAGG